AUUGAACGCUGGCGGCAUGCCUUACACAUGCAAGUCGAACGGCAGCACGGGGGCAACCCUGGUGGCGAGUGGCGAACGGGUGAGUAACACAUCGGAACGUACCCAGUUGUGGGGGAUAACCAGUCGAAAGACGGGCUAAUACCGCAUGAUCUGGCGACAGCAAAGCGGGGGAUCGGCAACGACCUCGCGCGAUUGGAGCGGCCGAUGUCCGAUUAGCUAGUUGGUGGGAAAGCCACCAAGCUUUGAUCGGUAGCUGGUCUGAGAGGAUGAUCAGCCACACUGGGACUGAGACACGGCCCAGACUCCUACGGGAGGCAGCAGUGGGGAAUUUGGACAAUGGGGGCAACCCUGAUCCAGCCAUGCCGCGUGAGU
rnacentral:rRNA from 1 species